AAACCCUAAAACUCGUGUUUUUCCACUGUUUGGAGUACAAUUCGGGAAAUGGACAUGGCCGGCCAUAUGGCCGUCUGGCAGCCCAGUGGCUCUUGUAACUUGCUCCGAUUUUCACUUGAUUUUCGCUCAUUUUGUUCCCAAAUGCUCUCCUAAGUAUAAAAAUAUGAUUUUAAAGAAUUAUGAGCAUACAAUUUACCAUUAACAUCGAAUAAUCACCCAAAAACGCAUUAAGAAUAGGAUGAAAACAUGUUACUUUUAGCACUUAUCACCUAUCGUGUUGUCGCGACGUUGUUUAUGCUUCUCCCAUGUUUUGUCGUUGUGACGUCGCAUGUUUCCUUGUCACAACGUCGCUGUCUGUUUGUGUCUUAAUUUGACCGAAAUGCGAUACAUACUCAACAAAAAUAAAAUAAUAAUUUGAUAUUAUCACUUAAUUAUUUUAUUUUUAAUUAGUGAUAAUGUAAAUUUUUAAUAUUUAUUUCUUUAAUUAAUUUAAAUUAAUUAAAAAUAAUAAUUAUGACACAAAUAUGAUGUCAUCAUUUUCAUCAAUACUUACUUUAGUUUUACUCAUAAUAAUUUUAACUUGAUACAUAAUACUUUAUAAUUAAUCCGAAAUUUUCACAACCUACACUAAUGUUACAUCCAACUCUAUAAUCUUGACAAAAUCUUUGGAUUACGUUCAAAAAUUAUUGUAUACAAAUUCUAUCUUCUCGAAGUUAUUAAAAUAUAAUUUAUCCAUAUAAACAUCACCAACAUCCGAAAAGAAUAGGACAAGAACAUAUAUGGUAACCAUAAGUAAUUUACUUCACCAAUUCAAAUACUUUUUUGGAUUAUAUAAAAUUGUCUUCAAAUUCAAAUAUUACCCACUUUAGAAUGUUGUAAAUCAGUAAUUGGAUAGCAGCUAAAUCCUUGGAUAUAUCUUGGUUACUAUAUUGGAUUAAAUAAUACACUUCACGUUGGUAUUAUUUUUGUUCCAAUUCAUACAUGUUUUAAAUGGUAGUCCAAAAUGGACCAACAUAUACAGUCUUGUCUUUUCCAUUUCCCUUUCAAUCCGGUAAUUUUAUUUUGCACUCCUAAAAUUUAGGUUACAGAUUGAACUACGGGACUCCACACCUGAAUAAAAUUCUUCUACCCCUAGUUGCUGCCCGUAUUCAUGCCCCCACAAAUAACUUAGGCGACGGGAAAUAAAUAAUAUUUUUUUAUCAAUUAAAUUUAUCUCUUUGAUAAUUGUUUUUAUCCUUAAAUAUAUUUCAAUAAUUGUUGUUUAUAUAAACAUUUGCAGUUUUUUCAUUUAAACAUAUAAAUUUCUGAAUAAAAGCAAGUAUAUUCUCAUUAAAACUUGUUAACCAAUGAGGUAAACAAGGGAGGAAGAUGAUGACACAAUGGAGGAAAAAGAAGGAUUAGAUUGGGGAAGAGAUCUAUUUUGAGAAGAGUUGGAUGAUUAAAGAAGAAUGAAUGAGUAUGUAGACUGUAUGAGUUGUUUGCAUAGUUGUUUUAUAGUGAGGAAUAAGUUUAGUUGUGUGUCUUGAGGACACUGGCAUUGAAGCCUGAUUUGAUAUUCUUGACAGUGAUGGUGAUAUUGUAGAGUCUCAAAUUUGCCAGAGCCCAAUAAAACAAAACCAAAACAAAAAUUAAAUAACAGUCCAAAUUUACAAAAGAAAAAGAAGUCCCAAAGUCCAUUUACAACAAAAUUAGAAACCCAGAAUUAAAAAAUCUAAAGGCCCAGAUGGCCCACAACCUAAACCUAUUUUCAGUAAAAGGAAAACCCUAAUCCCUCUCUUGUGCCACUGCCUCCACAUGCUCUGUCAGCAUGCCCAACGCCCAAGGAUUGUAUCUUUGCAUCAGAAUGGCCUCCGUUGACCUGCAAGGAACACAGAAGCAGUCAGAGAACAACCACAAAUAGCAAUAUGAACAGUAGCAGAAAUAGAGCAGAAAAAGUAAUAAACAGUAACAAAAAUGUUGUAUUUUCGGCUAUAAAGCCACAAGCAAAAUCGAAAUGAAAAGGGGGAGGAAGAAAGUAAAAAAAUAGAAGUUUGAAACAGAUUCAAAAAAUCAAAGGUGAUUCUUUUCAUUUUUUUUUAUUUUAUUUGAAAUAAAUAAAUAGAUAAAUAACAAAAAACAUACUGAUUCGUCUUUCGACGCCAUUGAAAAAGCUUUCAGUAGCCUGGACGUCACAAAACCAGUUUGGGUUUCGACGGAGGUUUGAAACGCAGCAAAGACGAAGGCGUUCCCUCGCGAUUUGCUUCUUUUCCUUUUUCUUUUUGUUAGUUUUUUUUUAAUAAAUCCUAAAUCUAAGUCUUGCAUAAAAAAGGGGGUUAAAAAGUGAGUUUUUUUGAACUCUCCGGGCGACGCCGACACCGGCGACCGACGAUCGACACGGUGGCCAAUGAUCGGUCCGGUGGCCGGAUACUGAAGAGUGGGAGAAAAGUUGAGAGAACCCUUUUUUGUUUUUUUUUUUGGUUUUUUUGAAAUGAAGGAAUAAAAAUGAAUUUUUUGUCAAAAAAAAUAACUUUUAUAAUUUAUAUAAAACAGCGCCGUUUUGGGCCAAUGCGCAGACGCCAAAACAGCGUCGUUUUGGUCCACCCGUUUUUGACCCGACCCGCACAGCUAGGAUCCGCGUUUUUCUAGUGCAUGGGCAAUUUUCGCAAUCAGCCCUUUCGCUUUUUCGAUGCGCUACAAUCUGGUCCUUUUACACUUUUCUUAUUUUUAUAAAUUUGGCCACAUAUUUUGCGCGCGUUUCAAUUUAGCCCCUGGCUCGCUAAGGGAUGCACGCAUUGGAAUAUUUUCCUUUUGGGUCCCUCUAUAUAAUUCGUGCUCUUCAAUGUGGUCCUUUAUCAUGUUUUUAUUCCGAUUUAAACCCCUUAAAUUCCAUUCGAGAUUCAAUAUAGUGCUUUUAUGUUUAUUCAUUUAUUUUAUCAUAAUUUAGGCUCCAAAUUUCAUUUGAUUCCAAUUUAAUCCUUUGCUGAAUUUUAACCCUUUUUAUGAAUCCAUUUUAUUUUAAUAUUAUUUAUUUGUC
rnacentral:lncRNA from 1 species